AUUGAACGCUGGCGGCAGGCCUAACACAUGCAAGUCGAGCGAGCGGCGGAGGGGCGAGUAAUGUAUGGGGACCUGCCCGAUAGAGGGGGGAAACUACUGGAAACGGUGGCAAAAACCGCUAACUGUCGGAUGAACCCAUAUGGGUUUAGCUAGUAGGUGGGGUAAAGGCACACCUAGGCGACGCUCUUUAGCUGGUCUGAGAGGAUGAUCAGCCACACUGGGACUGAGACACGGCCCAGACUCCUACGGGAGGCAGCAGUGGGGAAUAUUGCACAAUGGGCGCAAGCCUGAUGCAGCCAUGCCGCGUGUAUGAAGAAGGCCUUAGGGUUGUAAAGUACUUUCAGCGGGGAGGCGUUACCCGCAGAAGAAGCACCGGCUAACUCCGUGCCAGCAGCCGCGGUAAUUC
rnacentral:rRNA from 1 species